GUGUCAGCCGCCGCGGUAACACGUAGGGCGCAAGCGUUGUCCGGAAUCAUUGGGCGUAAAGAGCUCGUAGGCGGUUUGUCGCGUCUGCUGUGAAAACUGGAGGCUCAACCUCCAGCCUGCAGUGGGUACGGGCAGACUAGAGUGCGGUAGGGGAGAUUGGAAUUCCUGGUGUAGCGGUGGAAUGCGCAGAUAUCAGGAGGAACACCGAUGGCGAAGGCAGAUCUCUGGGCCGUAACUGACGCUGAGGAGCAAAAGCGUGGGGAGCGAACAGGAUUAGAAACCCCGGUAGUCC
rnacentral:rRNA from 1 species